UGAAAACAAGAGUCAUACAGUAAGACACUCCCAUACACAAACAAUAGAAUCCCUCCUGCUUGGGAGAUAAUUGAAUCAGGAACUGUACUAAUCUAACCCAAUUAUCUCCAAGCACAGAAAAACAUACAAUUUUAUGAAACCCCAAAAAGUACCUUAAAAACACAUAAAACCCCAUUGUUACAUCCCCUGAUAGCCCCGAUCUGUGUGAACUACAUAUCCAAAAAUCAUCCAUAUCGGUUCAGGGGUUCAGGAAUUUCCU